GAUCCUUCUAGUUUCAGUAAAUUACUUGUCUGUCUCCAUUCACCUGGUAUAAUAAUAGUACCUGUUGUCAUAUCUUCACGAUCUAUGCACUUUUCUGUGAUAUAACUCUUUUUUGACCUCACAACACGGCGAGCUCUACAAAGUCGAUAAUUGAAAAUUUUUUCAUUGUGGGUUAUGCCUUUUUGCGAAUAUGGUUCCAUCAAGUUUUCCAUCAAUGGAAAAGCUUCGUCACCAAUGAAUACAUAAGGAAAAACGUCAUCUGUAUCAGAUGAUAACAUCGAAACUGAAAUUGAUAAGCAGACAGAUGAAUCACAAAUAUCUAUUUUAUCUCCCAGAAGUGAAUCAGAAACACACACAGUCGAAUUGAAUCAAAUGAAGCAACUUCGUCGGCUAGUAGGUCUUCAUCAGAAAUCAGCAAUAGAUCUAAAAAACGGGCUGCUCCAAGAAAAAAAAACUAGCGAGAUAAAAAGCUAGAACUGAUGGAAUUAGCUCAUAAUACUUUAAGCAACGAGGAAGAUGAAUAUUUAAUUGCCGGAAAAAGAAUAGGUUAUCAGUUAAAAGGUGUUGAUAAGCAGCAGAGAAUAAUAGCGGAAAACCUAAUAUCAGAUGUUAUGUACUACGCAAGAAUGGGACAGCUCACAGAAGAUGCCUUUGUUCAAUGCAAGUUUUCAAAUGUAAAUAAUUUUACUGAGCGUCAGCUUCCAGAUUUACAUAAUUUGUUUCAGUCAACUAGUACUAAUCCACGGAAUAGUCAGCAUCAGUCACAAUCAAUCAACACUAUACAAUUGCAAACUUUACCCAUGCCAGCACAUCACAAUACAGUAGUUACCAAUCAUCGCAAAGUGGCAAACAUUUUCUAUUGAAUAGCAGUGAAGAUGCUAAUACAACUAUAAGGCAUUACUACAAAUCAUACCAGCCUCAAGACAUCUAAUAAUAAUUAGCGGCACUUAUUAUUAUAAACUAUACUACUUUAAAAAAAAACUAAAAAAAUAAAAAAUGUUUUCUCGUA